AGCUGUAUAGAUUUAAGUUUUGAUAAAGAGCCUACGUUAUCAUGCAAAGCUUCGGACUUGAACGCUCUCAAUUUACGUCAACAAUGACGAGUAUUAUGUUAAAAUCAACUGCUUCGGUACAUUAAUGAAAUCUGCAGAAAGGGAUUAGGGAUAUUUCAGGAGUGAAAAAACAUAAAACAACCUUUGAAUAAGCCACCAAAGCUUUUUUGUGCUCAGAUUAAAAAGAAAGUGAAGUAGAAGGUGUUAGUGCCUACCAUUUCGAAACCCACGUUUACGUGUAAGUAAUGGAAGUCGAAAAAUGCAGCCUUCGGAUAAGAUUUAUGUGAUACUGUCACGAUUUUUACUCUUUUAUUAUGCAAGCGCAGCAAAUUUAGCUUCAGGACACUCAGAUAUGAGCGAGCACUUUCAGAAUUCAGGAGUAAGAAUUCGAUGUCCUGCAAGGAAUUUUUUUAUUCAGGAAGCUCAACCUGCUGGAGAAAUGCGUCCAGAUAGCUCAGUAAAACCAGCUCCCGCCCAGUUUACAGUUUCAACGAAAAGCCCUGAUGAGUUCUUGAACCAUGUGCUUGCAGUCAAUAGUCGGAUGUAUCAAUGUAAAGCUCCAAUUCUGCGUAAGUCUAACAGACAUUUUUUCUCAAGGCGGAAACGGGAGCUUCAUUUGGGACCUCCGCGAUCAUUACAUACUGAAUUAAACGUUAUUCUAGACUGCGUAACGACCCGCCACAUACUUCCACCAAAAAAUGGAAAGAAAGGAGUGGUCAUCUUAGAAUCAACCGGCCCGCAACUCUGGGAUUUCGCGGAAAUUGUCACCGAAAACGCCUGUCAGAUUGAAAUUUCUGACGCCGCUGGUUCAAUUCCAAUUGUUCGGGAACUAAAAUUUAAGGUUCAAGGAGCUGCAAGCGUUGAGAAAAAAGAUCCAGCGAAUCAUGAAAUAACAUUUCGGUACGGUGGUGGACGUGGCCGUGGACGAGGGAGACGAAGAGGACUAGGGCCAAAGACAACCACAACACCCAAGCCAGUUCCAAUAGACAAGGACGUUGAGUACCCAGAGGCUUUCAUUCAUCUAUCUAAUUCAUUUAUAAUUCAUCUAUCUUUUCAUCUAUCUAAUUGGGAUAGGAAACGAGGAGACAUGGCGAGGGCACCAGCGCGGCCGAAACUCGUUCAGCAAUCAGACCGAUUGGUGCAAGUUGAGUGGAAACCACCGUUGAAAGUUAUGCCAAUAGAGUUCUACCGCGUCGAAUACAUGAAAGACGACAGUCAGAACCAAUGGCUUCCCUGUCACAAGGGCAACUUACCUGCCCGAACCCGCGCUUUUCAGUUUGACCAGCUAAUGACCUUCCGAAGAUACAAAUUUCGAAUUUUAGUUCACUAUGAGAAUGGACAGGAACGAUACAGCUCACCCACCACAUGGUUCCACUUAGAAAACUGGACGUGA
rnacentral:lncRNA from 1 species